rnacentral:rRNA from 1 species
GAGUUUGAUCUUGGCUCAGGAUUAACGCUAGCGGCAGGCCUAAUACAUGCAAGUCGAACGGUAACAGGUGUAGCAAUACAUGCUGACGAGUGGCGCACGGGUGCGUAACACGUAUGCAACCUACCUAUAACUGGGGAAUAGCCUUCCGAAAGGAAGAUUAACACCGCAUAACAUCAUUCUACGGCAUCGCAGAAUGAUCAAACCUCCGGGGUUAUAGAUGGGCAUGCGUAACAUUAGCUAGUUGGUGAGGUAACGGCUCACCAAGGCUACGAUGUUUAGGGGUCUGAGAGGAUGAUCCCCCACACUGGUACUGAGACACGGACCAGACUCCUACGGGAGGCAGCAGUAAGGAAUAUUGGACAAUGGGGGCAACCCUGAUCCAGCCAUGCCGCGUGAAGGAUGAAGGCGCUCUGCGUUGUAAACUUCUUUUGUACGGGAUAAACUCCCGAUCGUGAUCGGGGUUGAAUGUACCGUAAGAAUAAGGAUCGGCUAACUUCGUGCCAGCCGCCGCGGU